UGAGGAAUAUUGGUCAAUGGGCGAGAGCCUGAACCAGCCAAGUAGCGUGCAGGAUGACGGCCCUAUGGGUUGUAAACUGCUUUUAUGUGGGGAUAAAGUGCGUGACGUGUCAUGCAUUGCAGGUACCACAUGAAUAAGGACCGGCUAAUUCCGUGCCAGCAGCCGCGGUAAUACGGAAGGUCCGGGCGUUAUCCGGAUUUAUUGGGUUUAAAGGGAGCGUAGGCUGUCUAUUAAGCGUGUUGUGAAAUUUACCGGCUCAACCGGUGGCUUGCAGCGCGAACUGGUCGACUUGAGUAUGCAGGAAGUAGGCGGAAUUCAUGGUGUAGCGGUGAAAUGCUUAGAUAUCAUGAAGAAAUCCGAUUGCGCAGGCAGCUUACUGUAGCAUAACUGACGCUGAUGCUCGAAAGUGCGGGUAUCAAACAGG
rnacentral:rRNA from 1 species